UGGCAGGUACAGAGGGAUGCUACCGGGCGACCGGAUGCGGAUCUCGAAAGCCUGUCCCAGUUCGGACUGGAGUCUGCAACCCGACUCCACGAGGUUGGAUUCGCUAGUAAUCGCGCAUCAGCCAUGGCGCGGUGAAUACAUUCCCGGGCCUUGUACACACCGCCCGUCAAGCCAUGGGAGCCGGGGGCGCCUGAAGUCCGGGACCGCGAGGACCGGCCUAGGGCGAAACUGGUAACUGGGGCUAAGUCGUAACAAGGUAAC
rnacentral:rRNA from 1 species